rnacentral:lncRNA from 10 species
CCACCAUGUGAAGAAGGUCCUUGCUUCCUCUUCAUCAUCUAUCAUGAUUGCAAGUUUAGGCCUCCUCAGCCACGUGCAACUUUUAUUUCACCCUGAAGCCAAAGAGAACUUUCUGAAAGACAAAUUUGCUCAUGCUAUAAUAGUUACUGACAAAUAUUUAAAGGACUAAGUUGUGUAAGGAAUCUACACUGUCAGGCAGAACCAGGAUUCCUGGAAGUAGAACUGGGCUGCUUCAUAAGUCUGACUUCAUAUGACAGCUAGAUUCAAAAGGAUGAAAUCAGUAGAGGUGAGACCUCUUGAUGCCUUGGCUUGGAAGUCACAUAUUCUAUUGGCCAAAGCAAAUCACAAGGCCACCACAAAUUCAAGGAGAUGAAGAAAUAGACUCUACCUCUCUUGAUUGGCUUAUAAUAUGGUCAGUUCUUCAGAGGAAGAGGAAAAUUUCAUCUGGCCUCAAAUCUCAGUGAUCGCAUUUGUGGGAACAUAAUGUCUGAAGUAAAGACUAAGUAGAAGUCUGACAAGCAAAAAAAGAAAAAAAGACAAAGACACUCCAAGCAAGAGAAACAACCUGAGCAGAAGCACCCAGGUAUGACAGAAAACGUAGAGAGGAAAGGCUUCCAAAAGCAACAGAGAUUCACAGGAAGCUCCACAGAAAAACGGGUGGUGCAAAAAAUUAGGCAAGAGGGAAAAUGGGGUUAGGCCAUGUACCAACAUGUUCAUCAUUAUACAGUGAUUGGACUUGGAAAGGCAGAAGAGAAGCAAGAGCCAGCAUCCUCAUCUUAUAAACAGAAAAGCUGUCUGGGCGUGGUGGCUCAUGCCUGUAAUCCUAGCACUUUGGGAGGCCAAAGCGGGCGGAUCACGAGAUCAGGAGAUCGAGACCAUCCUGGCUAACACAGUGAAACCCCGUCUCUACUAAAAAUACAAAAAAUAUUAGCCGGGCAUAGUGGCGGGCGCCCGUAGUCCCAGCUACUCGGGAGGCUGAGGCAGGAGAA